CCCGUAUAUACGAAAAUUGCAUUUGCCAUUCAUUGUUUGCGAGUCCGAUCCCAUCAACAUCUUCAGUGGCAUUGACAUCAAGCUCAGCACCAGGUACUAGUACUAAUCCUGCUGCUGAUGAUGACACCAGUUUUACUAGUACAGAGCCUGUAGGGUGACCAGACGUCCCCGUUUUCCGGGGACAGUCCCCGGCUGGAGCUGUCCCCGGAAAUGUCCCCGUUUUUAACUGUGCGUUAAAAACAGACUACAAAGUGAAAUAAUAUUUUACGUGGCAAGAAACAGCGGGCAUCAGAGUCUACCGGUUGACGUCUCAAUCUUGUUGUGCUUGUUUUGUCCAGCAGAGGGGGCCGCUCGCUAUAUCAGCUUCAUUCACUCUUCUACUUCUUCUAACUACUUGCUCGCGCUAGUUUUAGAGAAAACUGCUGUGGAAAACUCGGCCAGAAGCUAGCAAGUGUCAAGUGAAUCCAUAACAUCACCACAAACGUAUUUUCAAGCCAGGACCAACACUCUUUCAUUGUGGAGUAUCAUGUUCCUGUGGCACCUGGAGGUAUGGCAGACAUCUUUGACCAGCUGGAGUCCAACAAGGCCACUUUUCAGAUCAAGCACUUCUCUGUCAGCCAGACUACCCUGGAUGAGGUGAGCGAGAGAGACAGGGAGAGGAAGGGAGAUGGAGAAAGUGAGAUAUGGGGUGUGAGAAAAGAGAGACAGACAGAGAUGGUGGGGGGAGUCUGGCAGAGACUUAAAAGGCCAUUAUGUCUUCACACUUCAAAAAUCAAGGUGCAAAAAUAUGUUUUGAAUCCUAUUCAGUGAUUGACAGAGGGUAUGAACCUAUUACUGAUGCUGCAUCCCAAAAUGGCACCCUAUUCCCUUUAUAGGUCAAAAGUAGUGCACUAGGGAAUAGGGUGCCAUUUGGGGCAUAACCCUACAGUAUGUAAAGCAGUCUGAAUAACAGGUCUUCAUGAACUUUGCCAUGGGAAAGGUUGGCAUGGAGACAAUCCCAAUCCACAGCGAAGAAGGUUCCGAAGCACACAGCAUAAGCCUCGAAUCCAUUGAAGCUUCAGAUACAUAGCUUUGGCGGCUAUCUUGUUCACAAUACAAUGUGUCUGUCUGUCUGAGGACACCCACUGUGAAGGAAGAAGAGCAACAUUCAAUCUGGGCUGGAAAUGAAUAAUUGGAUCUGCAUGUACGUUUAAUAAUGCAAACAUUAAAUGAAUUAUUCUUGUAAUUAAUUUACUUUAUUUUAAUUGUAUAAUUUUGCUUUGGUACUGUUAUCAGUUUAUCAAAUCACUGUAUCACAUAUACCUUAUAAAGGAUAACUUAUGAAGUCACUUUGUGGCCACUUUGGACUGUUAAAUUGAACCGGGUUGCUAUAUUGAUGUUUCAUCAUGUAAUGAGAAUCAUAGAGAUGUUAACAUGCUUCUAUCAUGUUUCUUCACUAAUUGUCACGCCCUGACCUUAGAGAUCCUUUUUAUGUCUCUAUUUUGGUUUGGUCAGGGCGUGAGUUGGG